AGAACGAACGCUGGCGGCGUGCCUAACACAUGCAAGUCCAACGUGAAAGGGGGGCGAAUCCCCGGUACGGGGUGGCAAACGGGUAGGAGUAAUACAUGGGUGGAUCUACCUUACGGGAGUGGGGAGUAUCCUUCCGAAAGGAAGGGGCGAAUAACCGAACUAUUGUUCCGGACGGCCGUCGAAGGGUUACCGGGGGUAAACGGGGAAGGGCCGUCCUGAUACAAGACUUUCGUCCUUAACGUAAUGAGCCCACUGGCCCGACUCAGCUAGUUGGUUAGGGGUAAAGGGACCGUACCCAACGGACGUACGACGGGUCGGCUGGUCGUGAGAGGACGGACCACGCCACCACUGGCGACUGAGAUACGGGCCGAC
rnacentral:rRNA from 1 species